GAUGAAGAACGCAGCGAAAUGCGAUAAGUAAUGUGAAUUGCAGAAUUCAGUGAAUCAUCGAAUCUUUGAACGCACAUUGCGCCCGCCAGUAUUCUGGCGGGCAUGCCUGUUCGAGCGUCAUUUCAACCCUCAAGACCCCUUCGGGGGACUUGGUGUUGGGGACCGGCACAGGGGCCUGCCUGCUUGUCUUGCAGCGCCCUCGCCGCCCCCGAAAUGAAUUGGCGGCCUCGUCGCGGCCUCCACUGCGUAGUAGCACAACCUCGCAACGGGAACGUGACGGCGGCCACUGCCGUAAAACAACCCCAAUUUUAUUAGAGUUGACCUCGAAUCAGGUAGGAAUACCCGCUGAACUUAAGCAUAUCAAUAAGCGGAGGA
rnacentral:misc_RNA from 1 species